rnacentral:rRNA from 1 species
AGAGUUUGAUCCUGGCUCAGAUUGAACGCUGGCGGCAGACCUAACACAUGCAAGUCGAACGGUAACAGGAAGCAGCUUGCUACUUCGCUGACGAGUGGCGGACGGGUGAGUAAUGUCUGGGAAACUGCCUGAUGGAGGGGGAUAACUACUGGAAACGGUGGCUAAUACCGCAUAACGUCGCAAGACCAAAGAGGGGGACCUUCGGGCCUCUUGCCAUCAGAUGUGCCCAGAUGGGAUUAGCUAGUUGGUGAGGUAACGGCUCACCAAGGCGACGAUCCCUAGCUGGUCUGAGAGGAUGACCAGCCACACUGGAACUGAGACACGGUCCAGACUCCUACGGGAGGCAGCAGUGGGGAAUAUUGCACAAUGGGCGCAAGCCUGAUGCAGCCAUGCCGCGUGUAUGAAGAAGGCCUUCGGGUUGUAAAGUACUUUCAGCGGGGAGGAAGGUGUUGUGGUUAAUAACCACAGCAAUUGACGUUACCCGCAGAAGAAGCACCGGCUAACUCCGUGCCAGCAGCCGCGGUAAUACGGAGGGUGCAAGCGUUAAUCGGAAUUACUGGGCGUAAAGCGCACGCAGGCGGUCUGUCAAGUCGGAUGUGAAAUCCCCGGGCUCAACCUGGGAACUGCAUUCGAAACUGGCAGGCUUGAGUCUUGUAGAGGGGGGUAGAAUUCCAGGUGUAGCGGUGAAAUGCGUAGAGAUCUGGAGGAAUACCGGUGGCGAAGGCGGCCCCCUGGACAAAGACUGACGCUCAGGUGCGAAAGCGUGGGGAGCAAACAGGAUUAGAUACCCUGGUAGUCCACGCCGUAAACGAUGUCUACUUGGAGGUUGUGCCCUUGAGGCGUGGCUUCCGGAGCUAACGCGUUAAGUAGACCGCCUGGGGAGUACGGCCGCAAGGUUAAAACUCAAAUGAAUUGACGGGGGCCCGCACAAGCGGUGGAGCAUGUGGUUUAAUUCGAUGCAACGCGAAGAACCUUACCUGGUCUUGACAUCCACGGAAGUUUUCAGAGAUGAGAAUGUGCCUUCGGGAACCGUGAGACAGGUGCUGCAUGGCUGUCGUCAGCUCGUGUUGUGAAAUGUUGGGUUAAGUCCCGCAACGAGCGCAACCCUUAUCCUUUGUUGCCAGCGGUUAGGCCGGGAACUCAAAGGAGACUGCCAGUGAUAAACUGGAGGAAGGUGGGGAUGACGUCAAGUCAUCAUGGCCCUUACGACCAGGGCUACACACGUGCUACAAUGGCGCAUACAAAGAGAAGCGACCUCGCGAGAGCAAGCGGACCUCAUAAAGUGCGUCGUAGUCCGGAUUGGAGUCUGCAACUCGACUCCAUGAAGUCGGAAUCGCUAGUAAUCGUGGAUCAGAAUGCCACGGUGAAUACGUUCCCGGGCCUUGUACACACCGCCCGUCACACCAUGGGAGUGGGUUGCAAAAGAAGUAGGUAGCUUAACCUUCGGGAGGGCGCUUACCACUUUGUGAUUCAUGACUGGGGUGAAGUCGUAACAAGGUAACC